ACAGGGUCAAAAAUGACUUGUGCAUGUUUUAUGUUUUAUGGUUGUUUUUAUUCUAUUUUGCAUGUUUUAUGGUUGUUUUUAUUCUAUUUUGCAUGUUUUAUGGUUUUUAUUCUAUUUUGUAUAUUUUAUCCCUGCUUGUUGGUUGCUUUUAAUAUGUAGAAUGAAGUGUGUUAAGAUGUCAUGAACUGGACCCGUGGACAGCCACACCCCCAAUCAAAGAGACUGAUUAGGAGAGGAGCAGCAGGUGUGGCUGAGAGCCUGCAAUUAGCAGGAUGUAGCACAGGUGGAGAGGACACAAAAGGAGAGAACGGCUCGCAGCAGAAGAGGAGAUCUUCAGUCAGAGACAGUCCAGAGACAGCAGUGCAGCAGAAAAGCCCUCCUGCUACUACCUACCAGCCCAGUGACCUGAGAGUCCUGUGAGACUACAUGCAGCAGACCGUGUCCGCCAACGCAGAUUCACUCAAAAAACUUUCGGACGGUGCUGGAGAGACGGCCGAGACGGGCAGACGGCUGUUGGAGUACGGGAGGAGCUAAGACGCGGACACGGGAGGAUCGCUGGACUGGACUGGACUGGAGUGGACUGAACUGGAUUAAAGAGCCGGAUUGGACUAGAUUGGACUGGACUUUUUAUAGGGUUUUUAACCUUGUUGCUAGUAACAUUUUAUUCUUUCUAGCUUUUAGAUUAAUCAUUAAUUUUUUAGACCCAUGCUAUUUUAAUUGCAAUAAAUCUGGUUUUAAUUUG